AUUGAACGCUGGCGGCAGGCCUAACACAUGCAAGUCGAACGAGUGGCGGACGGGUGAGUAAUGUCUGGGAAACUGCCUGAUGGAGGGGGAUAACUACUGGAAACGGUAGCUAAUACCGCAUACCAUCGGAUGUGCCCAGAUGGGAUUAGCUAGUAGGUGGGGUAACGGCUCACCUAGGCGACGAUCCCUAGCUGGUCUGAGAGGAUGACCGGAACCACUGGAAAGGAGACACGGUCCAGACUCCUACGGGAGGAAGCAGUGGGGAAUAUUGCAAAAUGGGCGAAAGCCUGAUGCAGCCAUGCCGCGUGGAGGAAGAAGGCCUUCGGGUUGUAAAGUACUUUCAGCGGGGAGGCGUUACCCGAAGAAGAAGCACCGGCUAACUCCGUGCCAGCAGCCGCGGUAAUAC
rnacentral:rRNA from 1 species